rnacentral:rRNA from 1 species
UACGUAGGUGGCAAGCGUUGUCCGGAAUUACUGGGCGUAAAGGGCGUGUAGGCGGGGCGGCAAGUCAGAUGUGAAAUCCCAUGGCUUAACUGUGGAGCUGCAUCUGAAACUGUCGUUCUUGAGUGUCGGAGAGGAAAGUGGAAUUCCCAGUGUAGCGGUGAAAUGCGUAGAGAUUGGGAGGAACACCAGUGGCGAAGGCGGCUUUCUGGACGAUAACUGACGCUGAGGCGCGAAAGCCAGGGGAGCGAACGGG